rnacentral:rRNA from 1 species
UGGAGAGUUUGAUCCUGGCUCAGGAUGAACGCUAGCGGCAGGCCUAAUACAUGCAAGUCGGACGGGAUUCGGGACUUCGGUCGCGAUGAGAGUGGCGCACGGGUGCGUAACGCGUGAGCAACCUGCCCAUAUCAGGGGGAUAGCCCGGAGAAAUCCGGAUUAACACCGCAUAACACAGCAGUCUGGCAUCAGACCACUGUUAAAUAUUUAUAGGAUAUGGAUGGGCUCGCGUGACAUUAGCUAGUUGGCGGGGUAACGGCCCACCAAGGCGACGAUGUCUAGGGGCUCUGAGAGGAGAAUCCCCCACACUGGUACUGAGACACGGACCAGACUCCUACGGGAGGCAGCAGUAAGGAAUAUUGGUCAAUGGGGGCAACCCUGAACCAGCCAUGCCGCGUGCAGGAUGACUGCCCUACGGGUUGUAAACUGCUUUUGUCCGGGAAUAACCCCCUCUACGUGUAGAGGGCUGAAUGUACCGGAAGAAUAAGGAUCGGCUAACUCCGUGCCAGCAGCCGCGGUAAUACGGAGGAUCCGAGCGUUAUCCGGAUUUAUUGGGUUUA